UACGUAGGGUGCAAGCGUUGUCCGGAAUUAUUGGGCGUAAAGAGCUCGUAGGCGGUCUGUCGCGUCUGCUGUGAAAACUCAGGGCUUAACCCUGAGCUUGCAGUGGGUACGGGCAGACUAGAGUGCGGUAGGGGAGACUGGAAUUCCUGGUGUAGCGGUGAAAUGCGCAGAUAUCAGGAGGAACACCAAUGGCGAAGGCAGCUCUCUGGGAACGGUA
rnacentral:rRNA from 1 species